UAGCGUAAUCAAUAGCCAAUUAAUUGUUGGCCGGUAUGAAUGGCGUCACGAAGGCCCCACUGUCUUAAGAGGACUCUCCAUGAAAUUGAAUUCGUAGUGAAGAUGCUACGUCCAUAUUGUAAGACGAAAAGACCCCAUUGAGCUUUACUAAAGACUUGCAUGGCUCAAAAUAAUUUGAUUUAAAUAAAAAGUUUAGAUAAUGUGGGACCCGUUUCCGGUUAAUGAAACACCACUCUUUUAUUUUAAGAGAGCUAACAUUACAGGGAUAGUGUAAGUUGGAUAGUUUGGUUGGGGCGACCACCUUUUAAAAGGUAACGAAGGUGAGCUUAAGGUCCGUAGUUAAUAGCCGGUGGCCUGACUGCAAGGGGGACGUCUCGAGCAGACACGUCCUUAGGGAUGUGGACUAUAGUGACCCGUC
rnacentral:rRNA from 1 species